CAGUAGCCGCGGGAAUACGAAGGGGGCUAGCGUUGCUCGGAAUGACUGGGCGUAAAGGGCGCGUAGGCGGAUUGUUUAGUUAGGCGUGAAAUUCCUGGGCUUAACCUGGGGACUGCGCUUAAUACAGGCAGUCUAGAGUGAGGAAGAGGGUUGUGGAAUUCCCAGUGUAGAGGUGAAAUUCGUAGAUAUUGGGAAGAACACCGGUGGCGAAGGCGGCAACCUGGUCCUUGACUGACGCUGAGGCGCGAAAGCGCGGGGAGCAAACAGGAUUAGAUACCCCUGUAGUCCCUGUCUCUUAUAC
rnacentral:rRNA from 1 species